AAAUUGAAGAGUUUGAUCAUGGCUCAGAUUGAACGCUGGCGGCAGGCCUAACACAUGCAAGUCGAGCGGAAACGAGUUAUCUGAACCUUCGGGGAACGAUAACGGCGUCGAGCGGCGGACGGGUGAGUAAUGCCUAGGAAAUUGCCCUGAUGUGGGGGAUAACCAUUGGAAACGAUGGCUAAUACCGCAUAACGCCUACGGGCCAAAGAGGGGGACCUUCGGGCCUCUCGCGUCAGGAUAUGCCUAGGUGGGAUUAGCUAGUUGGUGAGGUAAUGGCUCACCAAGGCGACGAUCCCUAGCUGGUCUGAGAGGAUGAUCAGCCACACUGGAACUGAGACACGGUCCAGACUCCUACGGGAGGCAGCAGUGGGGAAUAUUGCACAAUGGGCGCAAGCCUGAUGCAGCCAUGCCGCGUGUGUGAAGAAGGCCUUCGGGUUGUAAAGCACUUUCAGUCGUGAGGAAGGUAGUGUAGUUAAUAGCUGCAUUAUUUGACGUUAGCGACAGAAGAAGCACCGGCUAACUCCGUGCCAGCAGCCGCGGUAAUACGGAGGGUGCGAGCGUUAAUCGGAAUUACUGGGCGUAAAGCGCAUGCAGGUGGUUUGUUAAGUCAGAUGUGAAAGCCCGGGGCUCAACCUCGGAAUAGCAUUUGAAACUGGCAGACUAGAGUACUGUAGAGGGGGGUAGAAUUUCAGGUGUAGCGGUGAAAUGCGUAGAGAUCUGAAGGAAUACCGGUGGCGAAGGCGGCCCCCUGGACAGAUACUGACACUCAGAUGCGAAAGCGUGGGGAGCAAACAGGAUUAGAUACCCUGGUAGUCCACGCCGUAAACGAUGUCUACUUGGAGGUUGUGGCCUUGAGCCGUGGCUUUCGGAGCUAACGCGUUAAGUAGACCGCCUGGGGAGUACGGUCGCAAGAUUAAAACUCAAAUGAAUUGACGGGGGCCCGCACAAGCGGUGGAGCAUGUGGUUUAAUUCGAUGCAACGCGAAGAACCUUACCUACUCUUGACAUCCAGAGAACUUUCCAGAGAUGGAUUGGUGCCUUCGGGAACUCUGAGACAGGUGCUGCAUGGCUGUCGUCAGCUCGUGUUGUGAAAUGUUGGGUUAAGUCCCGCAACGAGCGCAACCCUUAUCCUUGUUUGCCAGCGAGUAAUGUCGGGAACUCCAGGGAGACUGCCGGUGAUAAACCGGAGGAAGGUGGGGACGACGUCAAGUCAUCAUGGCCCUUACGAGUAGGGCUACACACGUGCUACAAUGGCGCAUACAGAGGGCAGCAAGCUAGCGAUAGUGAGCGAAUCCCAAAAAGUGCGUCGUAGUCCGGAUUGGAGUCUGCAACUCGACUCCAUGAAGUCGGAAUCGCUAGUAAUCGUGGAUCAGAAUGCCACGGUGAAUACGUUCCCGGGCCUUGUACACACCGCCCGUCACACCAUGGGAGUGGGCUGCAAAAGAAGUAGGUAGUUUAACCUUCGGGAGGACGCUUACCACUUUGUGGUUCAUGACUGGGGUGAAGUCGUAACAAGGUAGCGCUAGGGGAACCUGGCGCUGGAUCACCUCCUUAAACGAUGAU
rnacentral:rRNA from 1 species